GGCAACGUCUUAGCGUCAACAGCAGGGCCCGCCGGGAGGCCCAAAGGUCAUCGCUGCCCACCGUGGGGCGCCAAGCCCCCCCCCCCCACCGGCUUUCAUUCCGCUCCAAUGUUAAUAUUUGAAACAGCCGAGCUGCUGUCUAGAGGGUUUGCAGGCUUCUGUCUUGAAGGAAGUCCGGGGGGUCAAAAUUUCCAACUUCCUUACAUUAGGGCCAGCCUCGCCGAGGCCAAAGCAGCCAGUAGCUGACGUCCAGCAGCCGCAGCAGGGAAGAAUAAAAAUUUCAUCUAUAAUUUGGAAACUAAAUAAACAACAAAAUGAAGCCAGUAAAACAUCUGUUGACCUCUAGUAAUAAGUUGGCAAAAGUACCAGAAGUAACUCGUAAAAAAAGACUGCUUAAUUCACCAUUAUCACUUGCACCAAAGGAAAAACAGACUGCAAAAUCAGUACGUGAUAACUUUGAACAAAUGGUCUUAAGAUCUCCACCAACAGGAGACUCCCUCAUAAGGUAUGCUUUGCCUGUUCCAUCAAGUAGGACAAAGGAGUUAAUAGCAGAAGAUGAAUUGAUCAGUACAGUUACCAACCGUCUGAAAAUGGUUGUUUCUAAUUUGGAAGAAGCCUAUGGACAUGACAUCCAAAAUGAAGAGAAGCCAGCUGAGAAUGAAGAACUCAGUUUAUCUGUUGGGAAGAAUCUGCGUGCAUUCUUGGAAUGUUGUUCACAAUUUCUAACUCAGUUAGAAACAGCAACUAAGGAAAAACAAAAUAUUUUGGAAUCUCUUUUUAAGUGGUUUCAACAUCAGGUCAAUCAGAUGGAAGAGAUAAGUAAAGAUCAAAGCUUUUUAGAAACAGCAUUACCAGCAUCUGAUGAUACAAUCACUUUAAACAUUUUUCAAAUGGUAAAGCAAGUGCAAAAACUUGAAGAACUGAAAAAUCACAUUAAACAAGGGUCUGGGAGCUCCUGGAAAUCCUUGUUUUAUAAAACCAACACGGAUAGUGAAAAGCCACCAGAAAUGACACAAAGUUAUGAAAAUGUACUGCAAAGUGUUGAAGAAUUCAUAAAGACCCAUGCAAGUAAAGUAAACAUAGAUAUUCCUGAAACCAAACCACGAACUGUUCGUUCAGUGACUAGUCAGUUUAAUACCAUGUUGGAAAUAUUUGAAAAACAGUCACAUACAUUGGAGAGAGCUGUAAAUGAGCAAGAUUUGUUACAAACUAAAUGCAAAAAGAUGGAAAGUGAUUUCCAGAUGUUAUCAGAGGAAAAAGUGCUAUUGGAAAAUGAACUGCAAAAACUGAAGAAUGCAGAGAAAACAAAACCUCCAUCUGCUCGUACAAAGAAAACAAUAAAAACAGAGCGGAAAAAAGACAGAGUAAAACCGGAGGAUUCAAAAGGGAAGAAGCUACUGGCCAAAGAGUCAAAAGCAAAAGAUUUGAGUCAAAUCCAGAAAGUUGCAAAUGAUCUGGAGAGAGAGAAUAUGCUUCUUCAGGAAAAGGUGAAGCAAGCAAUGCAGGAAGCUGAAAGAGCAAGGAAUCAACUUAACUACUUCCUGAAAGAAGGAAAGGAUUUCUUUAGAAGUGAAGGGAGGAACAAAUCAACCGUGGAAUUAGGUAUUAGUAAAGUUAAAUUUAAGGAUGAUGAAUCAAAAUAUGUGACUUUGGAAAAAGGCUCAAGAGAAGCACUGAUUAAAGAUUCAGAUGGACAGAAGACAUAAAUCCAGGAACGCCCAUAGACUGAGAUGGUAUGUGCAUUAGAAAUAGCGAAGCAAAUCUAGGAAAAGUAACAAGAUCCUAAUAAAAUUUCUGAAAUGCUUUGGAAAAUCCCCUAAACCUUCAGACAGUGGAUGAGAAUGAAGUGAGGAGACCCACUGAGCAGACACACAGUAUUGCUUACAAUAAAGUACAUUCUGUGGGUAUGUGCUUUACAACACGAGCUCUGUCUUUCGGCUUAGGGACUGAAUUGGUGGCAAAAUUUAAUCAAAUACAAUAGAUAGUAAUAAUUUAGCAUCUCACAUCGUAUACACUGCUACCUUUUCUUAAAUGUUUUAAAACAGAAAUAAAAAUGUAAAUUAAAU